rnacentral:rRNA from 1 species
AAAAUUUAAUUUUUUUUAUGUUAACCUAACACAAGAGCAUUUCAAGUAAGAUUAAAAGAAAAAGAAGGAACUCGGCAAAUAUUAACCUCGCCUGUUUACCAAAAACAUCGCCUCUUGCCCCAAUAUAAGAGGUCCAGCCUGCCCAGUGACUCUGUUCAACGGCCGCGGUAUCCUAACCGUGCGAAGGUAGCGUAAUCACUUGUUCUUUAAAUGAGGACUAGUAUGAACGGCACCACGAGGGUUAUACUGUCUCCUUUUUCCAAUCAGUGAAACUAAUCUCCCCGUGAAGAAGCGAGGAUAAACAUAUAAGACGAGAAGACCCUAUGGAGCUUUAAACUCAAUAACACUUGCUUUUAAGCAUAAAUACUUCAGAGUAAUAAACACCCAUUACGGCCUCCUGAUUAUUAGUUUUAGGUUGGGGUGACCGCGGAGCAAAAAACAGCCUCCACAUUGAACGGGGAACAUCCCCCUGAGCCACGAGCCACAACUCUAUGCACCAAUAAAUUGACAUCUCUUGACCCAAUAUAUUGAUCAACG